ACAAACUUGGUCAUUUAGAGGAAGUAAAAGUCGUAACAAGGUCUCCGUAGGUGAACCUGCGGAGGGAUCAUUACUGAAUAUGGCCAACCCCGUUGGCCGCUCAGCACCUCAAAACCCGUGAAAAAAAUGACAGUGCUUCGGCGCUCCGGGCGCCGCUUGUUAAAUGCUGGGAAAUGACAUUCCGGUCUGAAUAUGAAAGAGAAAAACCAAAGAAAACUUUCAACAAAGGAUCUCUUGGCUCUUGCAUCGAUGAAGAACGCAGC
rnacentral:misc_RNA from 1 species